rnacentral:sRNA from 1 species
CUAUGCAAGCGAACGCUUUUCAGCACGACACCAGCGCCGCUCGGAUGGCCUCCGGCAUGACCUCGCGUGCCCGCCGGCCGGAAUCCCACAUCUUCGCUGGGUAAUCGGGCCGUUUAGCCGUUCC